GUGGAUGAAAUCAAGGCUUGCGGCUGACAACAUAUAAAUCAUGCCAUGUGAUGCCAAUUCUAAAGUGCCAUUAAUUCUCCUCCAUUAACCCCUGCGGAGUAUUCACUGACUGCUGGAACUAGAGCAUCACUGAGAAGCAAGAGAUGGACUGACCCAACUAGAGGGAGAGCUGCCGUCCAGGAUGAUGCCACCAUCGCAGGAGCAAUGUGAGGAAAGUGGAAUGAACUUGGACUUUGAAGGCAAACUAACCUGGAAUCAAAUGCUGGUUCUGCUGUUUGCAAGUGUGAUCUUUGGGUGUGCUUCCUAAUCUGUGAGCUUCAACUUCCUCCGCUGUAAACCAAGAUCAAAGACAAACAGAGCAACCUACUUGUCUGGUACCCAUCCCCUUGGCAGAACACUCCUUUGAAGGAUGACAGUUUGGCUGUGCCAGGGCAGAGCUGCCCACACCAAAUGAGCCUUCAUAGCAACUAUCUGAUGAGGAACUCACUGGCCUACCUUUCCUUGACAGCUGGGGUCUGCCAGCCUUGAAGCACGACUCCACAACGCCCCUACCCAAGGUCAUGGAGGUUGCUGCUGAUGAGCAAGCUGUUUUAUAUUUAAUCCAGGUUUCUGCUUGGAGAGGAAGAAGGUAGAGGAGCCAGCGAAGGUUUGUCUGAAUGAUACUUGAAGAAAAAACACUGGUAGCAGUCACAAAACUUUAAAAAUUAAAGUGCCAACGAGGUGGCUUUUGGUGGCCAGAUGAAAGCUGUUAACCCCAGCUUUUACAAAUGCUGGGCUUUUGAGUAAGAAGAGAUUGAGACCUCUUACCGUUGUAGCAGCAAAAGCAUCCACGGCUAGUGUUUUCCAAGCUCACUGCUACUUGCAGUCUAGCAAUGUUGUGUCUCCUGAAAUUCCUACCUUUCCUUGAUGGAUGUAAAAGAAGUACCAAUUUAUUAAGCUCCUAAUAUGUGCCAGAUGCUCCAUAUAUGUUACUUUUGAUCUUCACAACCACUCGGCAACUUACUGCUUCUCCUCACUACCAAUUACAUCCAUGAUGAAAUUGAAGCAGAGUAGUUUGCCUAGGAGUACAGAGCUAGGAGGGACCAGAGUUGGGAUUCUCCCUCAGUUCUAAUACACAGUAUGCCACAUUUCCUGUCGAGUAGUAACAAAGCUUCUAAGAAAUCUGAGUUUUCAUUUGUUAAAUGAAUUUUUAAGAAAUGAAAAUUUUAAGAAUUUUUAAGAAAUAUAGACAGGAGCACUAAGUGCUCUAUAGUUUAAUGUUAAUAAUGGUACAAGUAUAUAACCAGUUUCUUCAUGCACUGGCAUAACAUUCUUCAGAGGGUACACCAGGGCUGGAUGAGUAUGUGAACCCAAAAAUAUCUGAGACAGGUCUCAGUUAACUUAGAAAGUUUAUUUUGCCAAGUUUGAGGACAUGCACCCAUGACACAGCCUCAGUUGGUCCUGACAACAUGUGCCCAAGGUGGUUAGGGCAAAGCUUGUUUUUAUACACUUUAGAGGGACAGGAGAUAUCAAUCAAUAUAUGUAAGAUGUACAUUGGUUAUCUCCAGAAAGACAGGACAACUUAAGCAGGGAGGGGGCUUCCAGGUCAUAUGUAGGUGAGAGAUAAAUGGUUGCAUUCCUUUCAGUUUCUGACUAGCCUUUCCAAAGGAGGCAAUCAAAUAUGCAUUUAUCUCAGUGAGCAGAGGGGUGACUUUGAA